rnacentral:rRNA from 1 species
UACGGAGGAUGCGAGCGUUAUCCGGAUUUAUUGGGUUUAAGGGUGCGUAGGCGGCCGAGUAAGUCAGCGGUGAAAUUUUGCAGCUUAACUGUAACAGUGCCAUUGAUACUGCAUGGCUAGGAUUUGGUUGCUGUGGGUGGAAUGUGUGGUGUAGCGGUGAAAUGCUUAGAUAUCACACAGAAUAUCAAUUGCGAAGGCAGCUCACAAAGCCAAGAUUGACGCUGAGGCACGAAAGUGUGGGGAUCAAA